GACGAACGCUGGCGGCGUGCUUAACACAUGCAAGUCGAACGGAAAGGCCCUGCUUUUGUGGGGUGCUCGAGUGGCGAACGGGUGAGUAACACGUGAGUAACCUGCCCUUGACUUUGGGAUAACUUCAGGAAACUGGGGCUAAUACCGGAUAGGAGCUCCUGCUGCAUGGUGGGGGUUGGAAAGUUUCGGCGGUUGGGGAUGGACUCGCGGCUUAUCAGCUUGUUGGUGGGGUAGUGGCUUACCAAGGCUUUGACGGGUAGCCGGCCUGAGAGGGUGACCGGCCACAUGGGGACGGAGAUACGGCCCAGACUCCUACGGGAGGCAGCAGUGGGGAAUAUUGCCCAAUGGGCGGAAGCCGGAUGCAGAAACGCCGCGUGCGGGAUGACGGCCUUCGGGUUGUAAACCGCUUUCGCCUGUGACGAAGCGUGAGUGACGGUAAUGGGUAAAGAAGCACCGGCUAACUACGUG
rnacentral:rRNA from 1 species